GAGGGCAAGUCUGGUGCCAGCAGCCGCGGUAAUUCCAGCUCUGAUAGCGUAUAUUAAAGUUGUUGCAGUUAAAAGCUCGUAGUUGGAUUUUAGGAUAUAUUGAUAUGGUCUCUUGUGAUAAACUUGUUGUACUGUAUCGAUUGUCCUUUCCUACUGGUUACUCGACUCUGUUCUUUAUUGCAUGGAGUAGUGUCGCAAGGCAUCGCUUAAUAUUUUUAUUGCUUUUAGAUGUAGUAAUUGGGGUAAAACUGGUUGCGAAACCUAAGGGAUCACAGUAAAGUAUUAAGUGGGGUUCCAGUUCAUUUACUUUUGAGUAAAUUAGAGUGUUCAAAGCAGCCUGUAUGGGCAUUGAAUAGAUUAGCAUGGGAUAAUAGAAUAGGAUUCUUAUCUAUUUAUUGGUUUAUAGAUUUUAGA
rnacentral:rRNA from 1 species